rnacentral:rRNA from 1 species
AACGAACGCUGGCGGCAUGCCUAACACAUGCAAGUCGAACGAGACCUUCGGGUCUAGUGGCGCACGGGUGCGUAACGCGUGGGAAUCUGCCCUUAGGUACGGAAUAACUCAGGGAAACUUGAGCUAAUACCGUAUAAUGACUUCGGUCCAAAGAUUUAUCGCCUAAGGAUGAGCCCGCGUCGGAUUAGCUAGUUGGUGAGGUAAAAGCUCACCAAGGCGACGAUCCGUAGCGGUCUGAGAGGAUGAUCAGCCACACUGGGACUGAGACACGGCCCAGACUCCUACGGGAGGCAGCAGUGGGGAAUAUUGGACAAUGGGCGAAAGCCUGAUCCAGCAAUGCCGCGUGAGUGAUGAAGGCCUUAGGGUUGUAAAGCUCUUUUACCCGGGAUGAUAAUGACAGUACCGGGAGAAUAACGCCCCGGCUAACUCCGUGCCAGCCGCCGCUGUAAG